UACGGAAGGCAGCAGUGGGGAAUAUUGGACAAUGGGCGAAAGCCUGAUCCAGCCAUGCCGCAUGAGUGAAGAAGGCCUUCGGGUUGUAAAGCUCUUUUAGUGAGAAAGAUAAUGACGGUACUCACAGAAGAAGUCCUGGCUAACUCCGUGCCAGCAGCCGCGGUAAUACGGAGAGGGCUAGCGUUAUUCGGAAUUAUUGGGCGUAAAGAGCGCGUAGGCUGAUUAGUAAGUUAAAAGUGAAAUCCCAAAGCUUAACUUUGGAAUUGCUUUUUAAAACUGCUAGUUUUAGAGAUUUGAAAGAGGAUAGAGGAAUUCCUAGUGUAGAGGUGAAAUUCGUAAAUAUUAGGAGGAACACCAGUGGCGAAGGCGUCUAUCUGGUUCAAAUCUGACGCUGAGGCGCGAAGGGCGUGGGGAGCGAAACAGGGAUUAGAUACC
rnacentral:rRNA from 1 species